GUUUCCGUAGGUGAACCUGCGGAAGGAUCAUUCACACAUUCAUUCGGUUGAACACAACAGUGUUUUAAUCUGGUUAUUAUCUGCAGUGCAAACUGUAUGGUGGUAGCCAUGGUUGGGGCUGGUUGUAGUAACACCCGAACGCAUACAUAUACAACCUCUAACCAUUCCAACUUUUGAAUCUAUUUUCUCCCACCCCACAACGUUUUUUCUACUUAUUGAUACGUAAAAAGAUGCCUUUUAUCUUGUUUACACACCCCACAUGUUAAUGUGGGAUUCUCGUGUGAACAUAGAUAUUGUUGGGCAAGGUCACUUGGAUUCAAAAACGAAAGCCAAAAAACUUUCAGCAAUGGAUGUCUUGGCUCGCGCAUCGAUGAAGGACGCAGCGAAAUGCGAUACGCAUUGUGAAUUGCAGAUUUCAGUGAACCAUCAGAUUUCGGAACGCAUAUGGCGCUGCAGGGAUUUCCCUGCAGCACGUCUGUUUCAGUGUCUUUUAACCACACCCCACAGUAAACCGUUGUCACGCUAUUCGAAGAUAUCCUUUUGAAUAUAUAUAGACGAAAUGAAAUAACAUUAUUUCAGAUUAGUUUCUAUAUAUAUCUCAGAGGGAUGGAUUGGCUUUUUCGAAUGCGUGCGGUGGUGUCUUAUGGACGUCGGUCGAUGAACGAGCAGUCGCAGUCGUUUGAUCGUCGUCUGAAGAUCGGUUGAGCUCUUUCGCUGGCGCUUUAUGACGCGAGGUGUAAAGAAAGAGGCUUUGGAUAACAUUGCAUUGCUUGUAAUGUAAAGCCUACCUAUAUAUCCUUUCAUUCGAAAGAGAUAUGGUGGUGAAAGUGUGCACACUUUUUGUGUGUACAGUUCUUCGUCUUAUCUCUGUAAUAAUCGGAUUAAAGGACCAGCAACCGCAGGUGGCAUAUAUACAUUAUACACACAGCCAUAUAUCUCACUUUUGUAGUGGGGUAUGUGUGUGCGUGUGUGUGUGUGUAUUUUUUUCCCCUGCAUCGUUGAUGGUGUGUGGGCAAGCAAGCAGCGCUUUGUGAUCUCUGCUUCUUUUGAAUGCUUGCAUAUUUUAUGCCUUGCGUGUUGCUAGCAAAACAAAGAGUAAUAAAUACAGCAUUAUAAUAUAUUAGACCUGAAAUCAGUCGAGAUUACCCGCUGAAUUUAA
rnacentral:rRNA from 1 species